UACGUAGGGGGCAAGCGUUAUCCGGAUUUACUGGGUGUAAAGGGAGCGUAGACGGCAAUGCAAGUCUGGAGUGAAAGGCGGGGGCCCAACCCCCGGACUGCUCUGGAAACUGUAUAGCUGGAGUGCAGGAGAGGUAAGUGGAAUUCCUAGUGUAGCGGUGAAAUGCGUAGAUAUUAGGAGGAACACCAGUGGCGAAGGCGGCUUACUGGACUGUAACUGACACUGAGGCUCGAAAGCGUGGGGAGCAAACAGG
rnacentral:rRNA from 1 species